rnacentral:rRNA from 1 species
AACGCGAAGAACCUUACCCGGUCUUGACAUCCACAGAACUUUCCAGAGAUGGAUUGGUGCCUUCGGGAACUGUGAGACAGGUGCUGCAUGGCUGUCGUCAGCUCGUGUUGUGAAAUGUUGGGUUAAGUCCCGCAACGAGCGCAACCCUUAUCCUUUGUUGCCAGCGGUCCGGCCGGGAACUCAAAGGAGACUGCCAGUGAUAAACUGGAGGAAGGUGGGGAUGACGUCAAGUCAUCAUGGCCCUUACGACCAGGGCUACACACGUGCUACAAUGGCAUAUACAAAGAGAAGCGACCUCGCGAGAGCAAGCGGACCUCAUAAAGUAUGUCGUAGUCCGGAUUGGAGUCUGCAACUCGACUCCAUGAAGUCGGAAUCGCUAGUAAUCGUGGAUCAGAAUGCCACGGUGAAUACGUUCCCGGGCCUUGUACACACCG